CAGAUUCCUGCACCCAUUUUUCUGACCUUGUGAGCCAGCAUCUCCUCUCGUUUACUCAUGAGCUCCAGCUCUCGAUUCCUCAUUGCUUCGUCCUCUAGCACUGAAUCAACAAGGCUGAACUGAUCAUAGAGGUGAGGGUUGGAAAAUCCCAGCUGAGCCGAGAAGCUUCCCGUCAGAGCACAACUCUGGGCCUCCUGCUUUUCAUCCUCCCGCUCUGCCAAACUGAUAAUCUGAGCAGAUUAGGAAAAGAAUCCCAGCAUUCCCUCUUUAGGACAUCACACAGUAAGCAAACACCUCAUUGACUCCAAGAGAACAGGAGAGAAGUGGAUGUGGAACUUCAUACGUGAGCACUCUGAGAGCGUGAGCAGACAGACAGCCAUGACGGUCCACAUAAUCUGAACCUGCAGGACAUCGGUGAUGAGAAGCAGAUGAAAACCCUCUGCAGAAACAGGUCAGGGCACUUUUUCCUGUUUGUUCAUAUUGCGUAUAGUUUUGCUUCCUUUGUUGGCUUUCAGGAGCCAUUCCACGGAGAGAAUAAAAAAGCAAAUGAGGCGUCUGACAGACUCCAUUGUAUAGUUACAAUUACAUGAAUAAUAAACAAUGUAAGUGUCAUCCAUCAGUCUACAUCUGGAAAACAUUUGAAUCAUAUGGAGUGUUGUGAGAUAUGUCAAAGCUGUUAAUUUUGCCUUAAAAAUAAAACACUAUAAACACAGAAUGCAUGCUACGUUGUGAGAUUAAAGUUAGUUUACACACACCUAUUUGUGUGAAGUUUGUUCUCUGCAUUAGACUCAUCCCCUGGAGGAGUGUGGAGCUGCAGAACCUGCACUCAAGGACCAUUUGGUGGCUUAAGCCCCCAAUCCAACCCCUUAUUGGUGGGUGUCGAGCAGGGAGGCAUUAGAUCCCAUUUUUUAGAGUCUCUGGUAUGAUCAUUAACCCACGACCUUCCGGUCUCAGGGCAAAUACUCUCACACUAGGCCACUGACCUGGUUAGAAUCUGAGUUUAAUAAAAGUAGUGGAAAUAACAAUAUGGAGCCACUGAAAAAAGGCAAAAAUAUUUUUAAAAAAUUAAUUAAAUCAGAAUAAAAAAAGACUAAUAAAUAUAAUUUUAUUUUGUUUUUUUUCAGGGAAAAACAAGCAUCUUUUGUGACUUUUAAUGUGAGAAUCGUUGUUAGGAAAUAUUCAAUCUUUGUCUAGAUUUUAAUAACUUCUUUUGAAAGCAAUUUUUAGUCUUGAAUAGAACUUUGGAAAAUAAAUUAAUAUUGGUAAUCCAUCUAUUCAUUAACGUAAUCCCUGUUGAGAUCACAUGGUUGCUGGAGCCUAUCCCAGCUACUGUUGGGCAAAGGCAGGGUACACCCUGGACAUGUCGUAAAUUGAACCAUGUUGAAUCAUAAUCUGUAUGUAAACCAAUCGGUUUCUUUUUAUUAUUUUAAAAAGCACUAAAUAAUAACUAAAUAAAAUAAUAAUUCCAGUAGCCUGGAAUAGGUUUCAAGACCUUUAAGAUUAUUAGCUCUUAAUAGAUCAAACAUAAAAUAGUGAGCAAAAUGUUAAUUUACUGUGACGGUGAUUUACUAUAGUAGUUCCAGGUGUUUUUUAUUAAAAAUUGUAAUAUGGAUAGACAAUAAGCACAGAUCUCUGUCAGACUACUAAAUAUGAGGGUGCACAAUUUGUCAGAAAAUUAUCCCAUUUGCAGAGAGCUGUGAAAGGAGCUGUCAGUCUUCACAUUUAUGAUUUUAUCCUGAAGUCAGAUUGUGAAUGUUUUUCUCCAAAACAGCGCAGCUAGAAAAAAAAAAGGCUUUCAUUCUGUUCCACAUCAGUGCACUCCAGAGGAAAUUCUGACCAUCUGUGCAACUUUGAAUUUACACAGGAAAUUCGCCCAAGGACAACGAACAAAUCUACAACAGACUGAAAAGGCUGUCAGGACUUGAAAUGAGCCGUGGAUAAGGAAACGCCCAAAUACUUUUCUGACGGGAACCAUUGUUUUAAAGAUGUAUGGGCCAGAAUUCCUUCAUGACGAUGUGAAAAGCUGAUAAAGUUAAACAGAGAGUACCUGCUUUAAGUCACACAUUUUUAGACAUUUUCCUUUUUGUGCUCCCUUUGUUUUGUUACAUUAGAUCACGACAGUAAAAAAAUAAAACCAUGUGUGGGAUUUUUGCCUAAUCAUAAGAUGCAACGAAAAAAUUGGAUGACUUACUUCAUGAUUUUACAAAAGAAAACACAAGACAUGCAUGUGGUGUAACUUGAGCGCAGUCACACCCUAGACUUUUGUGCUGACUGGCCUUUUCUCUACUAAGUUCCUGAAGUCACAGUUAAUCACUAAGGAGUGCUUUUCCUGAACUGCCCAGUCGUGUUUACCUUCUGUCAAAGUUUUCCUAACAUCUUUAAACAACCAAAGAAAAAGAAAAAACAUUUUAGAAAUUAUGAAAUCAAAAGAGCAUCAUCAAACGUAUAAACUAGCUUAAGAAAACAAAACAAAAAUCGUUCAAAUUAAGUCUAAUUUAUAAGUUAAGACAGUAACCACAGAAUGACUCAGCAUAACAGCCUCCUUGAUAAUUCAGGAGUGGAGUAACUGAAUUUUUGGAUCAAUGAUCAUUCUUGUACCUGCAAGGUCCCUAGAAGGCAAGGACAAUACUGUAAGCAGACUCCCACCACCACUGCCGUCGUCCUGUCCAGCACACAGAACAAGGACCUGCACUUCUUCUUUGAGACACCGAGUGGAAAGCGACAAGAUGCGUCCACAGACAUCUGGGGGGG